GGAAGACACUGGGGUCUCAUAUAUGGAACCACAAUCAAGAUAUAUCCCAAUAGAGGCUGCAGGGUUCGAAGAAGUUUCUGAAGCUAUUCUGACACCAUUAGGAAGAGUUGUAAUCUUGGUCUUGCUUGGUUCAACGUGAUCAGGCAAUGGUGGUGGGAGGGUAAUACCAGAUAGUGGUGUUUCCAAUGGGGGAAGAGAGCUUGAACGUUCUCCAGUGAGCCAGCUAAAAAACCCUCCAGACGUUGGUCUUGCAGCAACUGCACUGGAUGUUGCAAAUCUAGAGGCCCCCAAAUUGGCCGCAUGGUUCUUGAGCGACCUGAGUCGUGAACCGGCGAUUCUGUGCAUGGUGGAGCUUAGUGGCAGUGAACCCUAGAAGAGAAGCUUUGAGGGUCGCCUUAGUUUUCCAGAGAAA
rnacentral:misc_RNA from 1 species